rnacentral:misc_RNA from 1 species
CCCUCAAGCGUAGCUUGGUAUUGGACGUUCGCGGGCCCUCUUUAGGGGGCCUGCGCGUCCGAAAAACAGUGGCGGUCCCCGGGGAUUUCGCGCGUAGUAAAUAUUCUCCCGCGUUGGAAAGAACCGAUUGGCCUUGCCAAAACCCCCCCUAAAUCUCCAUGAUUGACCUCGGAUCAGGUAGGGAUACCCGCUGAACUUAA